GGUGACAGGUGACAGAGUGAGGGAAGGGGUGACUAGUGACAGAGUGAGGGAGGGAGUGGGUGACCAGUGACAGAGGGAGGGGGUGACACAGUGAGGGAGGUGGUGACUAGUGACAGAGUGAGGGAGGUGGUGACUGUCACUAAUCACUAGUCACCACCUCCCUCCCUCUGUCCCUAGUCACCCCUCCCUCUGUCACUAGUCAACCCCUUCCUCACUCUGUCACUAGUCACCCCUUCCCUCCCUAACGCUGUCAACUAGUCACCACUUCCCUCCCUCACUCUGUCACUAGUCACACCCUCCCUCACUGUCACUAGAGUGAGGG
rnacentral:sRNA from 1 species